UACAGAGGUCUCAACCGUUGUUCGGAUUCAUUGGGCGUAAAGGGUGCGUAGGCGGUCGGGUAAGUCUGAUGUGAAAUCUCACAGCUUAACUGUGAAACUGCAUUGGAUACUAUCCGGCUAGAGGAAUGGAGGGGAGACUGGAAUACUUGGUGUAGCAGUGAAAUGCGUAGAUAUCAAGUGGAACACCAGUGGCGAAGGCGAGUCUCUGGACAGUUACUGACGCUGAGGCACGAAGGCCAGGGGAGCAAACGGG
rnacentral:rRNA from 1 species